rnacentral:rRNA from 1 species
UACGUAGGGGGCAAGCGUUAUCCGGAUUUACUGGGUGUAAAGGGAGCGUAGACGGCAAGGCAAGUCUGAUGUGAAAACCCAGGGCUCAACCCUGGGACUGCAUUGGAAACUGUCUGGCUCGAGUGCCGGAGAGGUAAGCGGAAUUCCUAGUGUAGCGGUGAAAUGCGUAGAUAUUAGGAAGAACACCAGUGGCGAAGGCGGCUUACUGGACGGUAACUGACGUUGAGGCUCGAAAGCGUGGGGAGCAAACAGG